rnacentral:rRNA from 1 species
UAGGGAAUCUUCCGCAAUGGACGCAAGUCUGACGGAGCAACGCCGCGUGAGUGAAGAAGGAUUUCGGUUCGUAAAACUCUGUUGUUAGAGAAGAACAGCGCAUAGAGUAACUGUUAUGCGUGUGACGGUAUCUAACCAGAAAGCCACGGCUAACUACGUGCCAGCAGCCGCGGUAAUACGUAGGUGGCAAGCGUUGUCCGGAUUUAUUGGGCGUAAAGCGAGCGCAGGCGGUCAAUUAAGUCUGAUGUGAAAGCACCCGGCUCAACCGGGGAGGGUCAUUGGAAACUGGUUGACUUGAGUGCAGAAGAGGAGAGUGGAAUUCCAUGUGUAACGGUGAAAUGCGUAGAUAUAUGGAGGAACACCAGUGGCGAAGGCGACUCUCUGGUCUGUAACUGACGCUGAGGCUCGAAAGCGUGGGUAGCAAACAGG